rnacentral:rRNA from 1 species
AAGAGUGCGUAAUAGCUCACUGGUCGAGUGAUUUUGCGCCGAAAAUUUAACGGGGCUAAACUGUACACCGAAGCUUGGGAAUAUACAUUUGUAUGUUGGUAGGAGAGCGUUGUGUAAGGGGUGAAGUCGUAGCGAAAGCGGCGGUGGACUUUACACAAGUGAGAAUGCCGGAAUGAGUAGCGAGAAUUAUGUGAGAAUCAUAAUGGCCGAAAGACUAAGGUUUUAGAAGGAAGGUUCGUCCGCUUCUAGUUAGCCGGGAGCUAAGGCGAGGCCGAGAGGCGUAGUCGAUGCACAUACGGUUGAGAUUCCGUAGCUACCUUGCAUUUAAGCGAAGGGACACAUUUGAAGGGCAUGACCCGGGCGUUGGUUGACCCGGGCGUAAGGGACCGAAAAUAAGUAGGGAAGCAUGCUUGGAUGGUGGCGAGAAAAGCUUCGUGUAUAUAAGCAGGGUACCCGUACUGCAAACCGACACAGGUAGUCAGGAAGAGGAUUCUAAGGCCAUCGGGAGAAGCGUUGUUAAGGAACUCGGCAAACUGACCCCGUAACUUCGGAAUAAGGGGUGCUCACGCGAGUGAGCCGCAGUGAAUAGGUCCAGGCAACUGUUUAUCAAAAACACAGCUCUCUGCUAAAUCGUAAGAUGACGUAUAGGGGGUGACACCUGCCCGGUGCUGGAAGGUUAAGAGGAGGGGUGCAAGCUCCGAAUUGAAGCCCCAGUAAACGGCGGCCGUAACUAUAACGGUCCUAAGGUAGCGAAAUUCCUUGUCGGGUAAGUUCCGACCCGCACGAAUGGUGUAAUGAUCUGGACACUGUCUCAACAGCCCGCCCGGCGAAAUUGUAGUACCGGUGAAGAUGCCGGUUACCCGCGGCAAGACGGAAAGACCCCAUGGAGCUUCACUGUAGCCUGAUAUUGGGUCUCGGUAUUUUAUGUACAGGAUAGGCGGGAGACUUGGAAACCAGCACGCCAGUGUUGGCGGAGUCACCCUUGGGAUACCGCCCUUAAAGUAUUUGAGUUCUAACCUGCAGCCAUGAAUCUG